rnacentral:rRNA from 1 species
CAGCAGUGGGGAAUAUUGGACAAUGGGCGAAAGCCUGAUCCAGCCAUGCCGCGUGUGUGAAGAAGGUCUUCGGAUUGUAAAGCACUUUAAGUUGGGAGGAAGGGUUGUAGAUUAAUACUCUGCAAUUUUGACGUUACCGACAGAAUAAGCACCGGCUAACUCUGUGCCAGCAGCCGCGGUAAUACAGAGGGUGCAAGCGUUAAUCGGAAUUACUGGGCGUAAAGCGCGCGUAGGUGGUUUGUUAAGUUGGAUGUGAAAUCCCCGGGCUCAACCUGGGAACUGCAUUCAAAACUGACUGACUAGAGUAUGGUAGAGGGUGGUGGAAUUUCCUGUGUAGCGGUGAAAUGCGUAGAUAUAGGAAGGAACACCAGUGGCGAAGGCGACCACCUGGACUAAUACUGACACUGANGUCGAA